UACGGAGGGUGCAAGCGUUAUCCGGAUUCACUGGGUUUAAAGGGUGCGUAGGUGGGCAGGUAAGUCAGUGGUGAAAUCUUCGAGCUUAACUCGGAAACUGCCAUUGAUACUAUAGAUCUUGAAUUUUCUGGAGGUAAGCGGAAUAUGUCAUGUAGCGGUGAAAUGCUUAGAUAUGACAUAGAACACCAAUUGCGAAGGCAGCUUACUACACAGUCAUUGACACUGAGGCACGAAAGCGUGGGGAGCAAACAGG
rnacentral:rRNA from 1 species